rfam:Schistosoma haematobium scaffold40_66, whole genome shotgun sequence.
AUUUAGAUGAUGAGUACUAAAUAGAACGAAAUACGUGUCCUGGAU